UGAAUACGAGACGCUAAGGCGUCGAAGUAGUGUAUGUCAUACUUCCAAGAAAAGCUUGCACUGUCAUAGAUAAAAAACGCCUGUACCAUAACCGACACAGGUGGGUAGGUAGAGUAUACUAAGGGGCGCGAGAUAACUCUCUCUAAGGAACUCGGCAAAAUAACUCCGUAACUUCGGGAGAAGGAGUGCCUUAUUCGUAAGGUUGCAAUAACAAGAUCCAAGCAACUGUUUAUCAAAAACACAGGUCUCCGCUAAGUCGUAAGACGAUGUAUGGGGGCUGACGCCUGCCCAGUGCCAGAAGGUUAAAGAAGUUGGUUAGCAAUUGCGAAGCUGAUAACUAAAGCCCUGGUGAACGGCGGCCGUAACAAUAACGGUCCUAAGGUAGCGAAAUUCCUUGUCGGGUAAGUUCCGACCCGCACGAAAGGCGUAAUGAUUUGGAUACUGUCUCGGAGAGGGGCUCGGUGAAAUAGACUUGUUUGUGAAGAUGCGGACUACCUGCACCAGGACAGAAAGACCCUAUGAAGCUUUACUGUAACUUGAAAUUGAAAUUGGACUUUAUUCGCGCAGUAUAGGUGGGAGGCGUUGAUUAUAAUCUUGUGGGAUUAUUGGAGCCAUCAGUGAGAUACCACUCUUGUAAUGUUAGAUUUCUAACUUUGAAUCAUUAUCUGGUCAAAGAACAGUUUCAGGCGGGCAGUUUGACUGGGGCGGUCGCCUCCUAAACGGUAACGGAGGCGUACAAAGGUUUCCUCUGAACGGUUAGAAAUCGUAUCUAGAGUGUAAAGGCAUAAGGAAGCUUGACUGUGAGACCUACAAGUCGAGCAGGGACGAAAGUCGGUCUUAGUGAUCUGACGGUACUGAGUGGAAAGGCCGUCACUCAACGGAUAAAAGUUACUCUAGGAUAACAGGCUGAUCUCCCCCAAGAGUUCACAUCGACGGGGAGGUUUGGCACCUCGAUGUCGGCUCAUCGCAUCCUGGGGCGGUAGUACGUCCCAAGGGUUGGGCUGUUCGCCCAUGAAAGCGGUACGCGAGCUGGGUUCAGAACGUCGUGAGACAGUUCGGUCCAUAUCCGGUGUAGGCGUUAGAAUAUUGAGAGGAGCCUUCUUUAGUACGAGAGGACCGAGAAGGACAUACCUCUGGUGUACCAGUUAUCGUGCCAACGGUAAACGCUGGGUAGCUAUGUAUGGAGUGGAUAACCGCUGAAAGCAUCUAAGUGGGAAGCCCACCUCAAGAUAAGUAUUCCC
rnacentral:rRNA from 1 species